rnacentral:rRNA from 1 species
CAGUCGCCGCGGGAGUACGAAGGGGGCUAGCGUUGUUCGGAUUUACUGGGCGUAAAGCGCACGUAGGCGGAUCGAUCAGUCAGGGGUGAAAUCCCAGAGCUCAACUCUGGAACUGCCUUUGAUACUGUCGAUCUGGAGUAUGGAAGAGGUGAGUGGAAUUCCGAGUGUAGAGGUGAAAUUCGUAGAUAUUCGGAGGAACACCAGUGGCGAAGGCGGCUCACUGGUCCAUUACUGACGCUGAGGUGCGAAAGCGUGGGGAGCAAACAGGAUUAGAUACCCCAGUAGUCCCUGUCUCUUAUCC